AAACAUUCCAAGCCCCGUCCUUUUGUGCAGGCAUCUCGCUGUCUGCGCUGGGCACGGAGCGGCGCGCGCGCGCCCGUCUUUCCCUCGGCGGCCCCCCGCGGCUGGGACCCGGGCCGGCAGACAGGCCAUCCAUCAUCCGCCCUCCUCCCGCGGAGCGCCGCAGCCGCCGCGGCCAAUCCGGCGGCAGGUGGGGCCGCACCUGCGGGACGGCCCGCCGCUUCCCUCCGCUCUCUUCGCCGCGCCUCGCGUGCUAGCGGUGCCCUUGAGAGCCACUGCGUUCUCCAAGGCCAGAACGGGACAGUUGACGAUGGUCGUACUUCUCCAUGUUCUGAGACCAGUUUAAACAAAAACAAAAACCAGACAACAACCUUGCAAGGGAAAGAAUUCAGAGUAAAUAAACAGUCUUUUUCUGGGAAGUAAAGUAUUUCCCUAAGAUGGAGAAAUUGAGAUGAGAGCUCAUCCACAAGAUUACCCAUCAAUGAGCACCAAUAGCAACCAAAUCCACUAGAAGACUGGGAGCUUUUAAGUCAAGACACUUACAUCAGUAUCAUCAUUCCAAGAAGCGGUAUCCAAGUUGUUUUAUCAAAAGUGUGCAUGGGAGGUAAGAGUUGGGAA
rnacentral:lncRNA from 1 species